ACUUGUAACAACUUGUUUGCAGAUCUGUAACAUGUGCGUUUUUACGUACGUACACGCGUAAAAAUGCACAAGUUGUUACAGGUCUGCAAACAGUUGUUUAAAAGU